GACGAACGCUGGCGGCGUGCUUAACACAUGCAAGUCGAACGGAAAGGCCUGCUUUCCCUUGUGGAUUGCGGGUACUCGAGUGGCGAACGGGUGAGUAACACGUGAGUGAUCUGCCCCCAACUUGGGUAUAAGCCUGGGAAACUGGGUCUAAUUCCCGAUAGGACUGCAGGGUGGUGCCUGUGGUGGAAAACGAUUUUCUAGUGGUUGGGGAUGAGCUCGCGGCCUAUCAGCCUGUUGGUGGGGUAAUGGCCUACCAAGGCGGCGACGGGUAGCCGGCCUGGGAGGGUGGACGGCCACAUUGGGACUGAGAUACGGCCCAGACUCCUACGGGAGGCAGCAGUGGGGAAUAUUGCACAAUGGGCGGAAGCCUGAUGCAGCGACGCCGCGUGGGGGAUGACGGCCUUCGGGUUGUAAACUCCUUUCGACCGCGAGGAAGCCACCUGGUUGGAAGGGUGGUGACGGUAGUGGUAGAAGAAGCACCGGCUAACUACGUG
rnacentral:rRNA from 1 species